CUUGUCCAGCCGUCAGUCGCUGACGGGAUGCACGAGAAGUAAAUGCCAAGCAAUUGCCGGAUGGGGUUGGGUUUUGGCCGUCCCGCAUGGUGUGAGGGUCGUUUAUUCCUUCGGUACCCAAAACUUAAAAAACAAUGAUAUUAAGAUCCUUUAUACAGCAAUUUUUAUUUGGCUAGAGGUAUCUAGCCUACAAUCAGUCCACAUGAGAGCCUUUUCUUUCCUCACCUCAUUACUAUAAUAAAGCUGGAUGAGAUAACCAUUCUUAUGGAAAGGAGGUAAAUCUCAACUGGGUUACUUUAUCGGCACAUCAAAAUAUAUCAAGUUGUAGUAGGGAUCUAGAUAGAUUGAGGAUUCACUCCAUUCGCCGCUCUUGGUUCAUUGUUUUCUAUUUCUUUAUCACUGACUAUUAUUUCUUUUC
rnacentral:lncRNA from 1 species